rnacentral:rRNA from 1 species
CUACGGGAGGCAGCAGUGGGGAAUCUUGGACAAUGGGCGCAAGCCUGAUCCAGCCAUGCCGCGUGAGUGAAGAAGGCCUUAGGGUCGUAAAGCUCUUUCGCCAGAGAUGAUAAUGACAGUAUCUGGUAAAGAAACCCCGGCUAACUCCGUGCCAGCAGCCGCGGUAAUACGGAGGGGGUUAGCGUUGUUCGGAAUUACUGGGCGUAAAGCGCGCGUAGGCGGAUUAGUCAGUCAGAGGUGAAAUCCCAGGGCUCAACCCUGGAACUGCAUUUGAUACUGCUAGUCUUGAGUUCGAGAGAGGUGAGUGGAAUUCCGAGUGUAGAGGUGAAAUUCGUAGAUAUUCGGAGGAACACCAGUGGCGAAGGCGGCUCACUGGCUCGAUACUGACGCUGAGGUGCGAAAGUGUGGGGAGCAAACAGGAUUAGAUACCCGAGUAGUC